UACUGUGAGGCUCCAAGGGUCUUAGCACAGAAACCGCCCACUGUAGGAGUCCCCACGGGGCCCAGGUGUCCGUUCCAAGUCCCCUGCUGUACUAAGUAUAGGCUGGAGCUGUUUGGAGAAACCGUGGCCUCGGCCCCCAGACCUGACUGCGCCUGGAGAUGCUGCCUGUGCCUUCCUCCAGGCAGGAGCAAGCAGGCAAAGAGCAAGUGCUUUCUUCUUCCAAGUCCUUAUAUAUUGACUUCCAGCAGAACACAUGACCCAGAUUAAAGGUGUGUCUUCCCGCCUCCCACCUCAAAGCUGUGGACUAGAAGUGGAUUUGAAGUGCAACCAGCAAACCCAGGAACCUUUUUAUCAUGCAAGGAAAAAAAAAGCAAAAUAAAUAAAUAAAUAAAUAAAUAAAU
rnacentral:lncRNA from 1 species